rnacentral:rRNA from 1 species
UCUCGUUGAUCCUGCGAGAGAUUUCUGCUAGAGGGGUUGGAGUAAGCCAUGAAAGUAUGUUAUUUUUUAACUGCAGAAGGCUGAGUAACACGUCAUUAAUCUAUCUUAUUAUUUUUAAUAAUCUUGAGAAAUUGAGUGUAAAGAAUAUGGUUAUUUUAUACUGGAAUGUUUAAAUAAUUAAAAUAAGAUGAGAUGGCGGUCGAUUAGAUUGUUGGUGAGGUAAUGGCUCACCAAGUCAAAGAUCGAUAGGGGUCGUGAGAGCGAUGACCUCCAGAAGGACACUGAGAUAAGGGUCCUAGCCCUAAGGGGUGCAGCAGGCGCGAAAACUCUACAAUGCACGAAAGUGUGAUAGGGCAACCCCUCGUGCUUACAAGAGUAGGCUUUUAUUAUGUGUAAUGGGCAUAAUGAAUAAGUGGUGGGCAAGACUGGUGCCAGCAGCCGCGGUAAUACCAGCGCCACAAGUGGAGAUCACUAUUAUUGGGUCUAAAGAGUUCGUAUCUGGUUUUAUAAGUCUUUUGUGAAAUUUCUUUUGCUUAACAGAGAAAUUGCAAGAGAUACUAUAAGACUUGAGACCGGGAAGGAUAAGAAGUAUUGUUUGGGUAGCGGUUAAAUGUUUUAAUCCUUACAAGACUAACUAAGGCGAAGGCAUCUUAUUAGAACGGAUCUGACAGUGAGGAACGAAAGCUAGGGGAGCGAACCGGAUUAGAUACCCGGGUAGUCCUAGCUGUAAACUCUGUGGGUUACGCUUUGUUGAAAUUAUGGAUUUUAACAGAGGGGAAGUGAAGACAAUAAACCUACCACCUGGGAAGUACAGCCGCAAGGCCGAAACUUAAAGGAAUUGCCGGGGGAGUACUACAAGCGGUGCGGCGUGCGGUUUAAUUGGAUUUUACACCGAGCAACUCACCAAGAGCGACAGCACAAUGAAGGUCAGAUUAAAGGUUUUACCUAAGACGCUGAGAGUUCCUGCAUGGCCGCCGUCAGUUCGUGCUGUAAGGUGUCCUCUUAAGUGAGGAAACGAACAAGACCUAUGUUCAUAAUUACUAUUAGAGUUUAUCUAAGUACAUUAUGGGGACUGCCUUGGAAACAAGGAGGAAGGUGUAGGCAACGGUAGGUCUGUAUAGGGCGAAUCUCUUGGGCUACACGCGCGCAACAAUGAUAAGGACAAUGGGUUGCAACUCCGAAAGGGGGAGCCAAUCUCUAAAUCUUAUCUUAGUUUAGAUCGAGGUUUGUAACUCAGCCUCGUGACAUCGGAAUCGCUAGUAAUCGGACGUUAUCAGCGUCCGGUGAAUAUGUCCAUUCUCCUUGGACACACUGCCCGUCAAACCAACCAAAUAGGGUUUAGAUGAGGUUUUGCUAUUUUGGCAAUAUCAAAUCUGAGCUCUGAGAGGGGGGUUAAGUCGUCACAAGGUA